rnacentral:rRNA from 1 species
AUUGAACGCUGGCGGCAGGCCUAACACAUGCAAGUCGAGCGGAUGAAGGGAGCUCGCUCCUGGAUUCAGCGGCGGACGGGCGAGCAAUGCCUAGGAAUCUGCCUGGCAGUGUGGGCUAACGUCCGGACACGGGCGCUAAUACCCUAUUCGUGCUGAGGGCGAACGUGGGGGAUCAUCGGACCUUACGCUAUCAGAUGAGCCUAGGUCGGAUUAGCUAGUUGGUGGGGUAAAGGCCUACCAAGGCGACGAUCCGUAACUGGUCUGAGAGGAUGAUCAGUCACACUGGAACUGAGACACGGUCCAGACUCCUACGGGAGGCAGCAGUGGGGAAUAUUGGACAAAGGGCGAAAGCCUGAUCCAGCCAUGCCGCGUGUGUGAAGAAGGUCUUCGGAUUGUAAAGCACUUUUAGUUGGGAGGAAAAGCAGUAGGUUAAUACCUUGCUGUUUUGACGUUACCAACAGAAUAAGCACCGGCUAACUUCGUG